rnacentral:rRNA from 1 species
CCUGGCUCAGGACGAACGCUGGCGGCGUGCCUAAUACAUGCAAGUCGAGCGGAGUUAGAGAAGCUUGCUUCUCUAACUUAGCGGCGGACGGGUGAGUAACACGUGGGCAAUCUGCCCGUAAGACUGGGAUAACUCCGGGAAACCGGGGCUAAUACCGGAUAAUCCUGACUCUCUCCUGAGAGUCGGUUGAAAGAUGGUUUCGGCUAUCACUUACGGAUGAGCCCGCGGCGCAUUAGCUAGUUGGUGAGGUAACGGCUCACCAAGGCGACGAUGCGUAGCCGCCCUGAGAGGGUGAUCGGCCACACUGGGACUGAGACACGGCCCAGACUCCUACGGGAGGCAGCAGUAGGGAAUCUUCCGCAAUGGACGAAAGUCUGACGGAGCAACGCCGCGUGAGUGAAGAAGGUUUUCGGAUCGUAAAACUCUGUUGUUAGGGAAGAACACGUACGAGAGUAACUGCUCGUACCUUGACGGUACCUAACCAGAAAGCCACGGCUAAUACGUC